rnacentral:rRNA from 1 species
GACGAACGCUGGCGGCGUGCUUAACACAUGCAAGUCGAACGGAAAGGCCCUUCGGGGUCCUCGAGUGGCGAACGGGUGAGUAACACGUGGGUGAUCUGCCCUGCACUUUGGGAUAAGCCUGGGAAACUGGGUCUAAUACCGAAUAGGACCACGCGCUUCAUGGUGUGUGGUGGAAAGCUUUUGCGGUGUGGGAUGGGCCCGCGGCCUAUCAGCUUGUUGGUGGGGUAAUGGCCUACCGAGGCGACGACGGGUAGCCGGCCUGAGAGGGUGACCGGCCACACUGGGACUGAGAUACGGCCCAGACUCCUACGGGAGGCAGCAGUGGGGAAUAUUGCACAAUGGGCGCAAGCCUGAUGCAGCGACGCCGCGUGAGGGAUGACGGCCUUCGGGUUGUAAACCUCUUUCACCAGGGACGAAGCGUAAGUGACGGUACCUGGAGAAGAAGCACCGGCCAACUACGUG